ACUAAGGCUUGUUUGGGCUGCUCAGUGAUGAACACUGGGGUGACAGGUUCUCCUGCCAUGGUGAAUCCUGGCAAGAUUCGUCUGGCUCUCCGGACAUUAUGCAGCCCCAGCAUAUGUGGGAGGACGCCUGAAAGAAGUUUCGUCCUCAGGGGUCUCUCCUCUCCACCUACACACCUUGGAGAGCCUUCACCAGGGUGUGAUGGUGGGAAGUCUGGGACGCAUUCAUCAGAAGAUGCCAGGAGCAGUGGAGCACCACUGGCAGAAGAACCUGCCUCCGUGCUCCUUCAAAGGCCACAGACCCAUGAGAACCAUUCACUGUAGCCUGAGCCACAUGCCUAGAGGCCACAGCAGUGCACAGGAAAGUGAGGGGAAGUGGAAACGUGCGAGCAGACGGCUCAAAGCAACGGGCUCACCACCGG
rnacentral:lncRNA from 1 species